GACGUAGGGCGCGAGCGUUGUCCGGAUUUAUUGGGCGUAAAGAGCUCGUAGGCGGCUUGUCGCGUCGACUGUGAAAACCCGCGGCUCAACUGCGGGCCUGCAGUCGAUACGGGCAGGCUAGAGUUCGGUAGGGGAGACUGGAAUUCCUGGUGUAGCGGUGAAAUGCGCAGAUAUCAGGAGGAACACCGGUGGCGAAGGCGGGUCUCUGGGCCGAUAAUGACGCUGAGGAGCGAAAGCGUGGGGAGCGAACAGG
rnacentral:rRNA from 1 species